rnacentral:rRNA from 1 species
GUAAGUCCGGGGCUGGGAGGCUAGGAAAUACGUGGGAGCCAAGCGUGAUCCUGAAUCAUGGGGGUUAAAGGGGCCGUGGGCGGACUGAUAAGUUGGAGGGGAAAGGUGUUGGCUUAACCAAAAAAUUGCCAUGGAUACUGGAGGGCUUGAAUUAUUGUGAAGUAACGAGAAUAUGUAGUGUAGCGGUGAAAUGCUUAGAUAUUACAGGGAAUACCAAUUGCGAAGGCAGGUUACUAACAAUAUAUGGACGCUGAUGGACGAAAGCGUGGGUAGCGAACAGGAUUAGAUACUCCUGUAGUC